rnacentral:misc_RNA from 1 species
GAUGAAGAACGUAGCGAAAUGCGAUAAGUAAUGUGAAUUGCAGAAUUCAGUGAAUCAUCGAAUCUUUGAACGCACAUUGCGCCACUUGGUAUUCCGAGGGGCAUGCCUGUUCGAGCGUCAUUAUAACCCCUCAAGCUCAGCUUGGUGUUGGGGCCUGCUGCACUGGCAGCCCUUAAAAUCAGUGGCGGCGCCAUCUGGCUCUAAGCGUAGUAAUUCUUCUCGCUCUGGAGGUCCGGUCGUGUGCUCGCCAGCAACCCCCAAUUUUUUUCAGGUUGACCUCGGAUCAGGUAGGGAUACCCGCUGAACUUAAGCAUAUCAAUAAGCGGAGGA